UCUAUUUAUAUCAGUAUCAGUUUGUGAGUUUGAGAAUGAUACAAAGCAGAGAAGAAAAUAUAGAGGAACACACACACAGCCGAGAUACAGAGAGAGAGUGAGACACACAGAGUGGGCUAAGGUUCGCUUUUUGAUGAUUCAAUAAGGAGUAAUUGUUUUACAGUGUACCGAGGAUGAACGUGGAUUCAUAGUUGCGGGCUUAGGUGAAAGAGUUGGUGUUGAGGAAUUAUUCAAUUUUAUUUAGAGAUUUAUUUAUUUUUUUUUUGUAUUUAAUUUGAGGAAUUGAUUCGUAUCAAUAAAAUGAUAUUUCUUUUGA